rnacentral:lncRNA from 1 species
GAAGCAGUUUAUGUGUCAGUAUCGCUUCCAUCAGAGCAAGUAAAGCUUGAAAAGUAGGCCUGUUUGGAAAAGGUUUAAGUAAGGUGGGCUAGGACAGCUGAGUCCCAGUAUAUAUUGGCAACUGCGCACACCACCAUAAACGCGAUGGAGAGAAAAUUCAAUAAAAAGGCAAUGAUGUGUUUUGGACUGGCCCAGGACUAUGGUAGAGUGUGAACAGGAAGCAAAGCCUCACCUUUGAGGUCCCUGGUUGCUUUGCUGCGUGCUGCUAAUGAGUAAUAUUGGUUACUGCUGGGAAACAGGUGGGCAGUAAAAAGAUUAAACCGAGUUUGAAGAUAGGAAUAGGGAAUUGCCUGCCUGGCUGAGUGGUUAGGCUCUGCUGUCUGCUUUAGGAGGGUUCAGUCUGUUCUGAGACUUUUCAGGAGUUUCUUGCGGAGGUUCAUCUGGAGGACUAAGAAAGUGGAGCCAGUGGCACUAUAUUGACUCCACUGAUACUAUCCUCCUAAAUUAAAUGGUGGGAGAACAAGGCCUGUCUGUGAGAUAAAAGUCAGGACCUACUUGAUCUACCUACAAUGUUUUAAUGGCAGUGAGAGAGAGCAGGUUAAAAGUCACGUGUUUUUGUAGUGAAAGGCCCUUUGUUCCCGGCUCCAGCACUGGGUGAGGAGGGACAUUGGACAUGCCUUGGAUGACGAUAGUUCUGUCAC